rnacentral:lncRNA from 1 species
AAAGUAACAAAAUAUAUAAAAAUAAUAAAAAAAAUAAUUCGAUAUAUACUUUUAGUGAGUGUCUUAUGGAAAUUUAUGUAAGGACUGAGAUUUUUGACAGUACAACUAAACUCUCUGUUGAUGAUGUUUAUGUGUGUAAUUUAAUUACAUAAGCACUCGUCAAGUUUCAGGAGAAACUGAGCUAAAAUGGAGAAGAUACACGAUUUUUUAGUUUUCACUUAAGUGAAUAGUAACUCCGGUUUUCCGGAGAAGCCACGGAGUAGAGUUGGCUUCUGGUGCGUAUCGGACUCCGUUCAUAUCAGUCCAAUAGCUCGUUUCGACCGGUUCAGCUAUUCUGGAACUAGUGGCGCUGAUGGAUUUUGAGUUUGACGCACAGAUUUCGAGAAAAUCCAAAAAUACAUGUUUUAUAUGUAUUUGUGUGUGUGUUUCCUUCUAUUGGAAGAAGGUUGGAUUUUGUUGUGAAUCCGUGGUCGAUCGAGUUGAAUCGUAUGUGUAGCUUUGUUGUCUCCGAGGUGCUGAUCGCACUGGUGCAAUCCGUUCGCGAAUCUGACGGACGGAUCUGCGGAGAUCGCGCGUUGAUCGAGGAGAGGUCAGUGAUGGCAAAACGGUAAUUUCGCAAAAGUCGCGAUAUUUUAUGUACCGUUUCGCGAGAGAUCGGGCAUGGAGGGGUAUUCGUGCGUUUUACUCACGCCGUGAGGGAUUCGGAUUGAAUUGCUGAGUUUGGAGGGACUUUGGCGCAAUUUGUUACCCUACAUAUAUAAUGUAGUUAGGGUUCACUAUAGAAACCCUAACCCUAAUCCGCCCCUAGCUGACCCAGACCACCCUUGCCGCCCCAGCUGAGCCCUGCCCUGCCCGUGCGCGCGCCCCGGCCGCCGGCGAGCUGCU